rnacentral:ncRNA from 1 species
ACAAAUUCGUUGAUGAGAAAAAGUAGUGUUUCAAUUUGUUCUACAGAGAGCCGGCAUGUUGGUGGAAGUCGGUGUACAGAUGUUACAUGAACUCCCCUCUGAGAAGGUUGGCUGAACAAUAAACAGUAAGCUGAUCCGGUGUCUUCCGUUAAAAAGAACACGUAUGAUUGUACGUUGCUGAGAGCUAUUGAAUGUUUUUCAAUAGAAUUAGGGUGGUAUUCGCGGUUAACCCCGUCCCUUUU